rnacentral:rRNA from 1 species
CGGACGGGUGAGUAACGCGUGGGUAACUACCCUGUACACACAGAUAACAUACCGAAAGGUAUGCUAAUACGGGAUAAUAUAUUUGAGAGGCAUCUCUUGAAUAUCAAAGGUGAGCCAGUACAGGAUGGACCCGCGUCUGAUUAGCUAGUUGGUAAGGUAACGGCUUACCAAGGCGACGAUCAGUAGCCGACCUGAGAGGGUGAUCGGCCACAUUGGAACUGAGACACGGUCCAA